ensembl:snoRNA SNORA77B small nucleolar RNA SNORA77
GCAGACAAUACUCUGUUCUCUGCUGCUCAGUCCAGCCUGGAACUUUUUAUGUCUGCUAAAUUAAAACAGAAUGUAACGACCCACUGGCCUUUUAUUAGGCUGCUGUUGCUAUAUUCUGGCACAGAC